rnacentral:rRNA from 1 species
GAUGAACGCUAACGAGACGCUUAACACAUGCAAGUCGAAUGUUGCAGUAAUGCGACAUGGCAGACGGGUGAGUAACACGUGCUUAAUUUACCCCGGAGUGGGGGACAACAUCGGAAACGGUGAUAAUCCCGCAUACGUUCCAUAAAAUGAAAAUAUAUGGAAGAAAGAUUUAUCGCUCUGGGAGAAGGGCGCGGCUGACUAGUUAGUUGGUGAGGUAAUGGCUCACCAAGACGAUGAUCAGUAGCUGGUCUGAGAGGACGAACAGCCACAAUGGGACUGAGACAAGGCCCAUACCCCUACGGGGGGCAGCAGUGGGGAAUCUUGCGCAAUGGACGAAAGUCUGACGCAGCGAUCUCGCGUGAAGGAUGAAGCUUUGCGGAGUGUAAACUCCUUUUCUGGGAGAAAACAACUGAUGGUAUCUCAGGAAUAAGGGACGGCUAACUACGUG